GCUGCCUCAUUCUGAGUUCUCACGAAACCGUCAGGACGUGUCUGGAUUGGGGAGUGGAUUGUCACGACCAUUUUCUUAAAUACUGCAGCAACUACACAAAAAAAUUGCUUUGUUAUCAGAAAGGUCCACUCUGCACUUGCCUGUGCUGUCGAAAAUCGGGAGAAAAGAAUCCUAU